rnacentral:rRNA from 1 species
AGAGUUUGAUCAUGGCUCAGAACGAACGUUGGCGGCGUGCUUAACACAUGCAAGUCGAACGAGAACGGUUUCUUCGGAAACUCAGUAAAGUGGCGCACGGGUGAGUAACGCGUAAGUAAUCUACCCUCGCAUCUGGAAUAACUACGGGAAGCUGUAGCUAAUACCUGAUACGUUCAUAUAGUUACGAUUAUAUGAAGAAAGAUGGCCUCUUCUUGAAAGCUAUCGUGCGGGGAGGAGCUUGCGUACCAUUAGCUAGUUGGCAGGGUAAUGGCCUACCAAGGCAACGAUGGUUAGCGGGUCUGAGAGGAUGAUCCGCCACACUGGAACUGGAACACGGACCAGACUCCUACGGGAGGCAGCAGUGAGGAAUAUUGCGCAAUGGGGGAAACCCUGACGCAGCGACGCCGCGUGGAUGAUGAAGGCCUUAGGGUCGUAAAAUCCUGUCAGAUGGGAAGAAGUGCAUAUAGCUUAAUAUGUUAUGUGUUUGACGGUACCAUCAAAG